rnacentral:rRNA from 1 species
GUCCACGCCCUAAACGAUGUCAACUGGUUGUUGGGGAUUUAUUCUCUUAGUAACGAAGCUAACGCGUGAAGUUGACCGCCUGGGGAGUACGGUCGCAAGAUUAAAACUCAAAGGAAUUGACGGGGCCCGCACAAGCGGUGGAUGAUGUGGAUUAAUUCGAUGCAACGCGAAAACCUUACCUACGCUUGACAUGUCCGAGAUCCCCGAGAGAUUGGGGAGUGCUCGAAAGAGAAUCGGAACACAGGUGCUGCAUGGCUGUCGU